UACGGAGGGUGCGAGCGUUGUCCGGAAUCAUUGGGCGUAAAGGGCGCGUAGGUGGCCCGGUCAGUUCGUGGUGAAAGCGCGGGGCUCAACCCUGCGUCGGCCAUGAAUACUGCCGCGGCUGGAGCACUGUAGAGGCAGGCGGAAUUCCGGGUGUAGCGGUGGAAUGCGUAGAGAUCCGGAGGAACACCGGUGGCGAAGGCGGGUCUCUGGGCAGUAACUGACGCUGAGGAGCGAAAGCGUGGGGAGCGAACAGG
rnacentral:rRNA from 1 species